rnacentral:rRNA from 1 species
GAUGAACGCUAGCGGCAGGCUUAAUACAUGCAAGUCGAGGGGCAGCAGUCCCGCAGCAAUGCGGGAGCUGGCGACCGGCAAACGGGUGCGGAACACGUACAGAACCUUCCUUCGAGCGGGGAAUAGCCCAGAGAAAUUUGGAUUAAUACCCCAUAGCAUUACGAAGUGGCAUCACUUUGUAAUUAAAGAUUUAUCACUCGAAGAUGGCUGUGCGGCUGAUAGGUAGUUGGCGGAGUAACGGCCCACCAAGCCUUCGAUCAGUAACUGGUGUGAGAGCACGACCAGUCACACGGGCACUGAGACACGGGCCCGACUCCUACGGGAGGCAGCAGUAAGGAAUAUUGGUCAAUGGACGAAAGUCUGAACCAGCCAUGCCGCGUGGAGGAUGAAGGU